CCCUUGCUGGUCUAGUGGUCAGGAUUUCUGGUUUUCAUCCAGGCUACCCAGGUUCAAUUCUUGGGAAGGGAA
rnacentral:tRNA from 1 species